rfam:Orchesella cincta Ocin01_Sc2578, whole genome shotgun sequence.
CCAACGGCCUUUCUAAAGGCCACCACAUAUUCAAAGAGCCAAUACUU